rnacentral:rRNA from 1 species
CCAAUAGCGUAUAUUAAAGUUGUUGCAGUUAAAAAGCUCGUAGUUGAAUUUCGGGAUCAAUAUGUCGGUCGUGCCUCGGUACGUACUGGCAUCGUUGGUUUCUCCCUUCUGACGAACUAUGAUGUCAUUAAUUUGGUGUCAUGGGGAAUCAGGACUGUUACUUUGAAAAAAUUAGAGUGUUUAAAGCAGGCUCACGCUUGAAUACAUUAGCAUGGAAUAAUGAAAUAGGACGUUUGAUUCUAUUUUGUUGGUUUCUAGGAUUGACGUAAUGAUUAAUAGGGAUAGUUGGGGGCAUUAGUAUUCAAUUGUCAGAGGUGAAAUUCUUGGAUUUAUUGAAGACUAACUACUGCGAAAGCAUUUGCCAAGGAUGUUUUCAUUAAUCAAGAACGAAAGUUAGGGGAUCGAAGACGAUCAGAUACCGUCGUAGUCUUAACCAUAAACUAUGCCGACUAGGGAUCGGAUGAUGUUAAUUUUUUAAUGACUCAUUCGGCGCCUUACG